rnacentral:misc_RNA from 1 species
GAAAUGCGAUAAGUAAUGUGAAUUGCUGAAUUCAGUGAAUCAUCGAAUCUUUGAACGCACCUUGCGCUCCUUGGUAUUCCUUGGAGCAUGCCUGUUUGAGUAUCAUGAAAUCUUCAAAGUAAAUCUUUUGUUAACUCAAUUGGUUUCUACUUUGGUAUUGGAGGUCUUUGCAGCUUCACACCUGCUCCUCUUUGUUCAUUAGCUGGAUCUCGGUGUUAUGCUUGGUUCCACUCGGCGUGAUAAGUUAUCUAUCGCUGAGGACACUGUAAAAGGUGGCCAAGGUAAAUGCAGAUGAACCGCUUCUAAUAGUCCAUUGACUUGGACAAUACUUUUAUGAUCUGAUCUCAAAUCAGGUAGGACUACCCGCUGAACUUAAGC